rnacentral:rRNA from 1 species
GCUGGCGGCGUGCUUAACACAUGCAAGUCGAACGAAGCACUCUACUUGAUCUCUUCGGAGUGAUUGUUUUGUGACUGAGUGGCGGACGGGUGAGUAACGCGUGGGUAACCUGCCUCAUACAGGGGGAUAACAGUUGGAAACGACUGCUAAUACCGCAUAAGCGCACAGGGUCGCAUGACCUGGUGUGAAAAACUCCGGUGGUAUGAGAUGGACCCGCGUCUGAUUAGCCAGUUGGUGGGGUAACGGCCUACCAAAGCGACGAUCAGUAGCCGACCUGAGAGGGUGACCGGCCACAUUGGGACUGAGACACGGCCCAAACUCCUACGGGAGGCAGCAGUGGGGAAUAUUGCACAAUGGGGGAAACCCUGAUGCAGCGACGCCGCGUGAGCGAAGAAGUAUUUCGGUAUGUAAAGCUCUAUCAGCAGGGAAGAAGAAAUGACGGUACCUGACUAAGAAGCACCGGCUAAAUACGUGCCAGCAGCCGCGGUAAUACGUAUGGUGCAAGCGUUAUCCGGAUUUACUGGGUGUAAAGGGAGCGCAGGCGGUACGGCAAGUCUGAUGUGAAAGCCUGGGGCUCAACCCCGGUACUGCAUUGGAAACUGUCGGACUAGAGUGUCGGAGGGGUAAGUGGAAUUCCUAGUGUAGCGGUGAAAUGCGUAGAUAUUAGGAGGAACACCAGUGGCGAAGGCGGCUUACUGGACGAUUACUGACGCUGAGGCUCGAAAGCGUGGGGAGCAAACAGGAUUAGAUACCCUGGUAGUCCACGCCGUAAAAGAUGAAUAAUAGGUGUGGGGGAGCCUUGCUUUUCGGGUGCCUGCAGCAAACGCAAUAAGUAUUUCAAUUUGGGAGGUCGGUCGCAAGAACGAAACUCAAAUGAAUAGUACGGGGACCCCGCACAAGCCGGUGGAGCAUGUGGUUUAAUUUGAAGCAGCGAGAAGAGCUUGGCCAAGUCUCGACAUCUCGAUGACAGAACAAGUAAUGUGUUUUCUCUUCGGAGCAUAGGCGACAGGGGGUGCAUGGUUGUCGUCAGCUCGUGUCGUGAGAUGUUGGGUUAAGUCUCCGCAACGAGCGCAACCCCUAUUCUUAGUAUCCAGCGGGUAAGCCGUGCACUGUAGGGUGCCUCCCAGGGAUAAUCUGGAGGAAGGUGGGGAUGAGGUCAAAUCAUCAUUCCCCUUAUGACUUGGGUUACGCACGUGCUACAAUGGCGUAAACAAAGGGAAGCGAGCCUGCGAGGGGGAGCAAAUAUCAAAAAUAACGUCUCAGUUCGGACUUCAGUCUGCAAUUUGACUGCACGAAGCUGGAAUCGUUAGUAAUCUCGAAUCAGAACGUCGCGGAGAAUACGUUCCCGGGUUUUGUACACCCCGCCCGCCACCCCAUGGGAGUUGGUAAAGCCGGAAGUCAGUGACCCAACCGCAAGGAGGGAGCUGCCGAAGGCAGGAUC